ensembl:lncRNA novel transcript
GACUUCUGCACCUCAUCUCUGGGAUGGUUUCAGUGGGUCCUAGAUUGCUUUCUGUGCUCCCUGGGACAGUUGGUGGCACUCUGUGAGACUACUCUGAGGUACCCUUACAAGCUACUCUUAAUUUUCCCCGCUGUUCUGCUUGUUGGACAUGGCAUCAUGCUGCAAUGUUAACAGUCUUUCAAAGCUAAGCGCGGAGGAUGUGAUUCCAUCCCUGGCAGUUCUUAGAUUCCCUACCAGUCCUUUCCAUCAUGGGCUCCUGUGGAAAAUGACCCCAGCUCAGCUCAGUAGUUGAUGGGACAUCUGAUUCAGGUUGGACCCAGCCCAGACAUCUGAUUCAAACAAUAUUCUUCUCCAGGAAUUUUGUAACCAGCACUGGUAAAGGGAGGGAAGUGCUCCCCAGUGGGGAGAGCUGCAGAAUGUGAGACUUGGAAACCAAAGGCCGCCAUGUUUUCUGUCUCAUGAUGGAAUCCAAUCUUCUUUGGCGGGGAAAAUAAAUGAAGCCAACACCAGUAGGUAUAAGAGAGAUACAGAGUUGUAGCUGUGUCAAAACUCUGUUUCCCCUUGUUCUUGAAGUCCAUAUAUGUGUUUGCCCUGUCUAUGAUUCAGUUUGAUUGUAUGCCCUGCCCUUUUCUUUGAUCAUAUGGGAUGCCCCAAUGUGGUCUUUUUAGCAAAUUCCCCUCUUUUAUUGCCAACUACAUAGAGCUGUUUUAGUUCCUUGGUGUAUGUAUUCAAUUGUAUUAUUGUCACUAUUUUUCACUCCUUCCUUUGAACAAAAUAUUUAUUUAUACACUUCACCAUAUGACUUGCCUUCUUUCUGAUACGGAAUGCACAUCCCUGCUCCAUUGACUUUGAGCUUAGCCAUAUGAUUCAUGUAGGUCAAAUGUCAUGUCAGAAAUGAUGGGGUGGCAGUUUGAGCAGAAUCUUCAAGAAGCAGUAUGCAUUUCUACCACUAUUCUUGCAUUUCUCCCCUCCCUCAUAAGGACAACAUAUAUCAAGCAGGGGCCAUUGCUCCAGCCUGACUCCAGGAAUCAGCAGACAGCGCAGCCUCAUUCUCCACCUGCUCCCUGCAGUACAGCCUCAGAACCACACAGUUGCAGCCAACCAGCUCCUGACAUGGAACUUGAGCAACAAAUGCCCUUUGUUUUUGCAAGUCCCUGAGAUUUGGAAGUUGUUACACAGCAUUCUCUCAGCCAGAAGUGACUGACAUGGUAUCAUUGCAGUCUUGAUCAAUUUGCCCUAUGCAAAGUGUUUUUAUAUGCCAUGAAUUUCUGAAGAUAGAACUACUGUUAUUCCCCAUGCAGCAGCUGAGGAAACUGAGUCUUAGAAUGUAUAAACAACUUUCCCAAGGCUACUGAAAGUGAUGGGAAUCAAAUAUAUCUUUGCCUAACUCCAGAUCCCAUGCUUUUGAAGAUAUUUAUACUGCCUAAAGCUGUAACAGACUUUUCUAAUAGUCAUACAUGGCAUAUUUAGUUGCUCUCCAUGGGGAAAUAAUGACCUGACAUGGAAAAUAUUGGUGUACUUUAUUAUGAGAUUCUAAUAAGCAACCAUUAUACAUGUAUAUAAUAUAUACAUGCAACCUCUUAAGCUUAUGCCAUUCUGUAUGGAUGUUACUAGCUUGAAGAAAUUCUAAAGAGUAGGGAUAUUAAAAAUACUGAGCCAAUAAAGUAGGAUAAUUUUUUUAUUGUAGUCAAUUUUCAUUUAUAAUAUUAAAUUCUUGCACUCCCUUUCAAA